UUAACACAUGCAAGUCGAACGGUGAACACGGAGCUUGCUCUGUGGGAUCAGUGGCGAACGGGUGAGUAACACGUGAGCAACCUGCCCCUGACUCUGGGAUAAGCGCUGGAAACGGCGUCUAAUACUGGAUAUGUGACGUGACCGCAUGGUCUGCGUUUGGAAAGAUUUUUCGGUUGGGGAGGGGCUCGCGGCCUAUCAGCUUGUUGGUGAGGUAAUGGCUCACCAAGGCGUCGACGGGUAGCCGGCCUGAGAGGGUGACCGGCCACACUGGGACUGAGACACGGCCCAGACUCCUACGGGAGGCAGCAGUGGGGAAUAUUGCACAAUGGGCGAAAGCCUGAUGCAGCAACGCCGCGUGAGGGAUGACGGCCUUCGGGUUGUAAACCUCUUUUAGCAGGGAAGAAGCGAAAGUGACGGUACCUGCAGAAAAAGCGCCGGCUAACUACGUGCCAGCAGCCGCGGUAAUACGUAGGGCGCAAGCGUUAUCCGGAAUUAUUGGGCGUAAAGAGCUCGUAGGCGGUUUGUCGCGUCUGCUGUGAAAUCCCGAGGCUCAACCUCGGGCCUGCAGUGGGUACGGGCAGACUAGAGUGCGGUAGGGGAGAUUGGAAUUCCUGGUGUAGCGGUGGAAUGCGCAGAUAUCAGGAGGAACACCGAUGGCGAAGGCAGAUCUCUGGGCCGUAACUGACGCUGAGGAGCGAAAGGGUGGGGAGCAAACAGGCUUAGAUACCCUGGUAGUCCACCCCGUAAACGUUGGGAACUAGUUGUGGGGUCCAUUCCACGGAUUCCGUGACGCAGCUAACGCAUUAAGUUCCCCGCCUGGGGAGUACGGCCGCAAGGCUAAAACUCAAAGGAAUUGACGGGGACCCGCACAAGCGGCGGAGCAUGCGGAUUAAUUCGAUGCA
rnacentral:rRNA from 1 species